rnacentral:rRNA from 1 species
UACAGAGGUCCCAAGCGUUGUUCGGAUUCACUGGGCGUAAAGGGUGCGUAGGUGGCGGGGUAAGUCUGAUGUGAAAUCUCCGAGCUUAACUCGGAAACUGCAUCGGAUACUGCCUUGCUCGAGGGUUGGAGGGGGGACUGGAAUACUUGGUGUAGCAGUGAAAUGCGUAGAUAUCAAGUGGAACACCAGUGGCGAAGGCGAGUCCCUGGACAGCUCCUGACACUGAGGCACGAAAGCUAGGGGAGCAAACAGG